rnacentral:rRNA from 1 species
CAGCCGCCGCGGUAAUACGUAGGGUGCAAGCGUUAAUCGGAAUUACUGGGCGUAAAGGGUGCGUAGGCGGUUAGUUAAGUCUGUCGUGAAAUCCCCGGGCUCAACCUGGGAAUGGCGAUGGAUACUGGCUGGCUAGAGUGUGUCAGAGGAUGGUGGAAUUUCCGGUGUAGCGGUGAAAUGCGUAGAUAUAGGAAGGAACACCAGUGGCGAAGGCGACCACCUGGACUAAUACUGACACUGAGGUGCGAAAGCGUGGGGAGCAAACAGGAUUAGAUACCCGUGUAGUCCCUGUCUCUUAUAC